rnacentral:lncRNA from 1 species
AGCAGAAGAGCCUAGUGAGAUAGGAGUUGCAUCUCUGCUCAUCCAGAUCUCUAGAGAAGGGAUCUACCCCUGGACUUUUUCCUGGGUCUGCUGGAUUUUGCUGGGGGUCCACUCCAGAAGCUGUUUUCCUGGGUAUCACCAGCAGAGGCUGCAGAACAGCAAAGAUGGCUGCCUGUUCCUUCCUCUGGAAGCUUCAUCCCAGAGGAGCACCCGCCAGAUGCCAGUGGAAUCUCUCCUGCGUGAGGUGUCUGUCAACCCUUGGAAGCACCGGGGUCAGGGACCCAU